rnacentral:rRNA from 1 species
UACAGAGGUCUCAAGCGUUGUUCGGAUUCAUUGGGCGUAAAGGGUGCGUAGGCGGCGCGGUAAGUCGGAUGUGAAAUCUCGGAGCUUAACUUCGAAACUGCAUUCGAUACUGCCGUGCUUGAGGACUGGAGAGGAGACUGGAAUUUACGGUGUAGCGGUGAAAUGCGUAGAUAUCGUAAGGAAGACCAGUGGCGAAGGCGGGUCUCUGGACAGUUCCUGACGCUGAGGCACGAAAGCUAGGGGAGCAAACAGG